rnacentral:rRNA from 1 species
CCCUUAGAUGUCCUGGGCCGCACGCGCGUUACACUGAUGCAUUCAACGAGCUUAUAACCUUGGCCGAGAGGCCUGGGCAAUCUUGUUAACGUGCAUCGUGAUAGGGAUAGAUUAUUGAAAUUAUUAAUCUUGAACGAGGAAUUCCUAGUAAACGCAGAUCAUCAAUCUGCAUUGAUUACGUCCCUGCCCUUUGUACACACCGCCCGUCGCACCUACCGAUUGGAUGGUCCGGUGAACUGGUCGGACUGAUAAUUGUCACUGCGGGUGCAGUAGCAUUACGGAAAGUCCGGUGAACCUUAUCAUCUAGAGGAAGGAGAAGUCGUAACA